rnacentral:rRNA from 1 species
UACGUAGGUGGCAAGCGUUGUCCGGAUUUACUGGGCGUAAAGAGCGCGCAGGCGGCUGGGUCAGUCCGAUGUGAAAGCUCCCGGCUUAACUGGGAAAUUGCAUCGGAAACUGCUCAGCUUGAAGGUGGGAGAGGGUAGCGGAAUUCCCGGUGUAGUGGUGAAAUGCGUAGAUAUCGGGAGGAACACCAGUGGCGAAGGCGGCUACCUGGCCCACUCUUGACGCUGAGGCGCGAAAGCUAGGGGAGCAAACGGGAUUAGAAACCCCCGUAGUCC